rnacentral:lncRNA from 1 species
AAAAAAAAAAAAAAAAAAAAAAAAUAAAUUCUUUUCGUCAAUAUAUCAAAUUAUAUAGAAUUAACAUUUAAAAAAUAAAAAAAUAAUAAUAAUACAGAAAAAUUACUAUUUUUCCCUUCAAAUAUGCUCUUUUAUCAUCAACAGUAUUUCUUAUUUGCCCUUGAGUUAAGGACAAAAAAUAUAUUUUGACUUUUUGCCCUUUCAAAUAAAUCUUUCUGCCGUCACAAACUUUUCUUAUUUGCCUUUAAGUUACGGACUAAAAAGGUAUUUUAAAUUUUUUUUAACUCUGAUAGAAAUUUAAAUCGAGGUUAACUCAAGAUGACUUAACAGGUAUUAACAAGAGUUUAUUUUUGAAUAACAGAUAAUAUAUCCAAAGGAUAUAUUUGAAAUAAG